GUGGGGAAUCUUGCGCAAUGGGCGAAAGCCUGACGCAGCCAUGCCGCGUGAAUGAUGAAGGUCUUAGGAUUGUAAAAUUCUUUCACCGGGGACGAUAAUGACGGUACCCGGAGAAGAAGCUCCGGCUAACUUCGUGCCAGCAGCCGCGGUAAUACGAAGGGGGCUAGCGUUGCUCGGAAUUACUGGGCGUAAAGGGCGCGUAGGCGGACAGCUUAGUCAGAGGUGAAAGCCCAGGGCUCAACCUUGGAAUUGCCUUUGAUACUGGCUGUCUUGAGUUUGGGAGAGGUGAGUGGAACUCCGAGUGUAGAGGUGAAAUUCGUAGAUAUUCGGAAGAACACCAGUGGCGAAGGCGACUCACUGGCCCAAUACUGACGCUGAGGCGCGAAAGCGUGGGGAGCAAACAGGAUUUGAUACCCGUGUAGUCC
rnacentral:rRNA from 1 species